CAUGAAUGCCAGCUUCUGUUUGUGCCUUUUCUUUUUGUCUUUGAAAACCUAACAUUGUAACAGGCACGAGGCAGCAGUGAAGCAAUGAUGCAGGGUUCUCAUGAAGAACAGAUGAGAUGACUCCAUGAAGUACAUGGCAGUCCCACGCCAGCACAUGGUCCUUGUACAGUUUUACAUCUGAUGGCCCCAGGGAGCAACCCCUCUAGAAGCAAGAGCCCAUG